UCGAGAAUUUUUCACAAUGGGCGAAAGCCUGAUGGAGCGACGCCGCGUGGGGGAUGAAUGGCUUCGGCCCGUAAACCCCUGUCAUUUGCGAGCAAGGCUUUGUGCCUAACACGUGCAAAGUUGAUAGUAGCAGAAGAGGAAGGGACGGCUAACUCUGUGCCAGCAGCCGCGGUAAUACAGAGGUCCCAAGCGUUGUUCGGAUUCACUGGGCGUAAAGGGUGCGUAGGCGGCAGGGUAAGUUUGAUGUGAAAUCCCCGGGCUUAACUCGGGAACUGCAUUGAAUACUAUCCUGCUAGAGGAUCGGAGGGGAGACUGGAAUUCUCGGUGUAGCAGUGAAAUGCGUAGAUAUCGAGAGGAACACCAGUGGCGAAGGCGAGUCUCUGGACGAUUCCUGACGCUGAGGCACGAAAGCUAGGGGAGCAAACAGG
rnacentral:rRNA from 1 species